rnacentral:ncRNA from 1 species
CAGUAGGUGCAAGUCCGACCCGGAAAAUGCUCCAGCCGGAAGCAAUCGGAACAGUCAUGGAGCUAACGAAAUGGCUGAAGCCUCUGGUAAGCGUGUCACGAAUUGGUGACCGCGCGAGUGUGCAGGCCGUAACGCGA